rnacentral:rRNA from 1 species
AUGUCUGACAUGGACUUGGUUGCUUACAUAAACGAGGAGAACAAAAGAAGAAAGAGGAGACGGAUAGUUUUGACCAAUGGCGAUCAUGCCCAGAAUGGAUGGAAGUCCCAUGUCUACAGUGUUGUUAUAGGUAAUGUGCAUGAGAAGUGCUCUGUGACCAUCACAAAGGAAAACAUCAGUUCAAGGUGCAAAACCUUUGAAAAUCACUACGAGGCCAUUAGCAAGAUGCUUUCUCAAAGUGGAUUUGGGUGGGAUUGGAUCAAUAACAAACUGUCAAUUGAUAGUGAAGAUGUGUGGCUUAAAUAUGUCGCGGCUAACAAGAAAGUAGGAUUUUAUAAGAACAGGGUCAUUAAGAAUUGGGAUGCUAUCACCACCAUAUACUCAAAAGAUCAUGCAAAUGGUGAAGUUGAUGUCACUGGUGCUGAAACUAUUGUAGAACCAACUACGGAACCCAAUGAAGCCUCUCCUGAAGUGCCACAAAAAAACAGCGAACCGGUGAUGCCAUCCUGUGCCUUCUUGGGGAUAUGA